rnacentral:rRNA from 1 species
GAAAGUAAACAAGGGCGCAUGGAGGAUGCCUAGGCUCUCGGAGGCGAAGAAGGACGUGAUAAGCUGCGAAAAGUUACGGUAAGGCGCAAAUAGCCCUAGACCCGUAAAUAUCCGAAUGGGGCAACCCGGCCAGCAAUGGUCAUACCGCCAAGCGGUAAGCCAACGCGGGGAACUGAAACAUCUAAGUACCCGCAGGAAAAGAAAAUAACAAUGAUUCCGCCAGUAGUGGCGAGCGAACGCGGAACAGCCCAAACCACUCGUGUUACGGCACGAGUGGGGUAGAAGGAUCCACGAUACGGCAAGAAAUAAGUUAGCAGAAUACGAUGGAAAUCGUAGCCAAAGACGGUGACAGCCCAGUACGCGAAAACCGACAGAAGCCCAGUGGACACCUGAGUAACCCAGGACACGAGAAAUCCGGGGCGAAUCAGCGGGGCCCAUCCCGUAAGGCUAAAUACUCCCGAGAGACCGAUAGCGAACCAGUACUGUGAAGGAAAGGUGAAAAGAACCUCGAACAGAGGAGUGAAACAGACCCUGAAACCAUGCGCCUACAAGCGGUCGGAGCAUGUUAAAAUGUGACGGCGUGCCUUUUGCAUAAUGAACCUACGAGUUACUCUCGCUGGCAAGGUUAAGCGAUUCAGUCGCGCAGCCGAAGCGAAAGCAAGUCCGAACAAGGCGUACAGUCAGCGGGAGUAGACGCGAAACCAAGUGAUCUACCCUUGGUCAGGUUGAAGGUUGGGUAACACCAACUGGAGGACCGCACCGAUAAGCGUUGAAAAGCUUACGGAUGAACUGAGGGUAGGAGUGAAAGGCCAAUCAAACUUGGAGAUAGCUCGUACUCCCCGAAAUGCAUUUAGGUGCAGCCUCGAAGUAAAGUGAUAGAGGUAGAGCGACUGAUAAGAUGCGAGGGCUUCACCGCCUAUCAAGUCUUGACAAACUCCGAAUACUAUCACUUGAUCUUUGGGAGUGAGGGCAUGGGUGCUAAGGUCCAUGUCCGAAAGAGGAACAACUCAGACCACCAGCUAAGGUCCCGAAAUAAGGGCUAAGUUGAAUAAACGAAGUAAAACUGCAAAGACAGCUAGGAUGUUGGCUUGGAAGCAGCCAUUCAUUUAAAGAGUGCGUAACAGCUCACUAGUCGAGGAGUUUUGCAUGGAUAAUAAUCGGGCAUAAGCCCUUUACCGAAGCUGUGGAUGUCGUAAGACAUGGUAGGGGAGCAUUCCGGCGGCGACGAAGGCCGUCCUCGAGGACGACUGGAGCUUUCGGAAAAGCAAAUGUAGGUAUAAGUAACGAUAAAGGGGGCGUGAAACCCCCUCGCCAUAAGACUAAGGAUUCCUGAUCAACGCUAAUCGGAUCAGGGUAAGUCGGGCCCUAAGGCGCAGCCGAACGGCGUAGCCGAUGGAAGAAACGGUAAAGAUUCCGUUACUGGAUAUAGGAGCGAUGUGGAGACGGAGAAGUGACACACCCGCCUGCCGACGGAAGCGCAGGUUAAAGGAAGUAGGUAAACGCCGGGUAGGCAAAUCCGCCUGGCGUGCCGAAACUGACAGUAUCGAGAGCCCCCGGGCAAUCGAAUAGCGGUGGUAAUCAGGCUCCCAAGAAAAUCCGCUAAGCAUAUUCUAUAUCCACCCGUACCCCAAACGGACACACGUAGUCGGGUAGAAUAUACCAAGGCGCUCGAAAGACUCACGGUUAAGGAACUAGGCAAAUUGACCCUGUAACCUCGGGAAAAAGGGUCCCCAGUAAGAUGGGGCGCAGAGAAUAGGUCCAGGCAACUGUUUAACAAAAACACAGGGCUGUGCGAAAUUUCAAGAUGAAGUAUACAGCCUGACACCUGCCCGGUGCCGGAAGGUUAAGAGGAGAGCUAAUCGCAAGAGAAGGCUUGAAUUGAAGCCCCGGUAAACGGCGGCCGUAACUAUAACGGUCCUAAGGUAGCGAAAUUCCUUGUCGGGUAAGUUCCGACCUGCACGAAUGGUGUAAUGAUCUGGACACUGUCUCAACCGUGACUUCGGUGAAAUUGUAGUAUCGGUGAAGAUGCCGAUUACCCGCAACGGGACGAAAAGACCCCGUGAACCUUUACUGCAACUUAGCAUUGCGUUUGGGCAUUUGAUGUGUAGGAUAGUCCGGAGGCUACGAGUCGGCGACGCCAGUCGUCGAGGAGCCGCUGUUGAAAUACGGACCUUCGAAUGUUUGAGCGCUAACUCGCAGGAGCGAGGACACUGUUUGGUGGGUAGUUUGACUGGGGUGGUCGCCU